rnacentral:rRNA from 1 species
CUCAGGAUGAACGCUAGCGGCGCGCUUAACGCAUGCAAGUCGAGCGAUGAGGCUCCCUUCGGGGAGUACAUCAGCGGCAGACGGGUGAGUAACACGUAGAUAACCUGCCCUCAAGACGGGGACAACCGGUGGAAACAGCGGCUAAUACCCGAUAUGCUCACAGGAUCGGGAGGUCGAGUGAGGAAAGGCUUCGGUGCUUGAGGAGGGAUCUGCGGCCCAUCAGCUAGUUGGUGAGGUAACGGCUCACCAAGGCGAAGACGGGUAGGGGGUGUGAGAGCAUGGCCCCCCACAAUGGGACUGAGACACGGCCCAUACUCCUACGGGAGGCAGCAGCGGGGAAUAUUGCGCAAUGGACGGAAGUCAGACGCAGCGACGCCGCGUGGGUGAGGAAGGCCUUCGGGUUGUAAAGCCCUUUUCAGGGGAGCGAGAAAGGACGGUACCCUUGGAAUAAGCGUCGGCUAACUACGUGCCAGCAGCCGCGGUAAGACGUAGGACGCAAGCGUUAUCCGGAUUUACUGGGCGUAAAGCGCCUGUAGGCGGUCAAGUAAGUCGGAUGUGAAAGCCCCGUGCUCAACGCGGGGAAGCCAUUCGAUACUGCGUGACUAGAGAACGGCAGAGGGAAACGGAAUUUCUGGUGUAGCGGUAAAAUGCGCAGAGAUCAGAAAGAACACCGAUGGCGAAGGCAGUUUCCUAGGCCGCAUCUGACGCUGAGAGGCGAAAGCUAGGGGAGCAAACAGGAUUAGAGACCCUGGUAGUCCUAGCUGUAAACGAUGGAUGCUAGGUGUGGGCCGGAAAGGUCCGUGCCGUAGUUAACGCGAUAAGCAUCCCGCCUGGGGAGUACGGCCUGCAGGCUAAAACUCAAACGAAUUGACGGGGACCCGCACAAGCAGCGGAGCGUGUUGGUUUAUUCGAUGCUACACGCAGAAC